rfam:Spinacia oleracea cultivar SynViroflay scaffold39051.con0002.1, whole genome shotgun sequence.
UUUUUAGCAAUGAUUAUAAUGUUCCUCGUUCUGAAUUGCAAUAGCCAUGGCAUGGUAGACUCAUCUAUACACAUAGAAUAUGGGCGAU